rnacentral:tRNA from 1 species
AUUUAAAUAGCUUAUAAAGAGUAUAAUAUUGAAGAUAUUAAGGAGAUUAAUUUAAUCUUUAGAUA